rnacentral:rRNA from 1 species
GACGAACGCUGGCGGCGUGCCUAACACAUGCAAGUCAACUUGACUGAAGGAGCAAUCUGACAGUAGAGUGGCGCAAGGGUGCGUAACGCGUAAGUAACUUGCCCAAGGUAAGGAAUAACGUCGAGAAAUCGGCGCUAAUACCUCAUAAUGCAGCGGAUCCGCAUGGAUAUGUUGUUAAAGGUUUACCGCCUUGGGAUAGGCUUGCGUCUGAUUAGUUAGUUGGUGUGGUAACGGCACACCAAGGCUACGAUCAGUAACUGGUCUGAGAGGAUGAUCAGUCACACUGGAACUGAGACACGGUCCAGACUCCUACGGGAGGCAGCAGUGAGGAAUAUUGGGCAAUGCUCGAAAGAGUGACCCAGCAACGCCGCGUGGAGGAUGAAGGUAUUCUAUAUCGUAAACUCCUGUGAGAGCAGACGAAAGACAGAUUAUUAAUCUGGAUGACUGUAUGCUCAGAGGAAGCCCCGGCUAAC